rnacentral:misc_RNA from 1 species
UAUCCGUAGGUGAACCUGCGGAAGGAUCAUUAAUGUGUUUGGGCCUCACGGCUCUUCAUUCCGACGCUGUGCGCCUUCGGGCUGCACGCUGAGGGAGCAUAUAUCCACCCCUGUGCACACACACGGUGGCGAGCUGGGUAACGGCUCGCCGCUGAUCUUUACACACGUCUAAAAGUCAUUGUAUGUUUAUUUGAGAUAAAAACACAACUUUCAGCAACGGAUCUCUUGGCUCUC